rnacentral:rRNA from 1 species
GUGGGGAAUUUUGGACAAUGGGCGCAAGCCUGAUCCAGCAAUGCCGCGUGCAGGAAGAAGGCCUUCGGGUUGUAAACUGCUUUUGUAUGGAACGAAACGGUCCUGGUUAAUACCUGGGGCUAAUGACGGUACCGUAAGAAUAAGCACCGGCUAACUACGUGCCAGCAGCCGCGGUAAUACGUAGGGUGCAAGCGUUAAUCGGAAUUACUGGGCGUAAAGCGUGCGCAGGCGGUUUUGUAAGACAGGCGUGAAAUCCCCGGGCUCAACCUGGGAAUUGCGCUUGUGACUGCAAGGCUGGAGUGCGGCAGAGGGGGAUGGAAUUCCGCGUGUAGCAGUGAAAUGCGUAGAUAUGCGGAGGAACACCGAUGGCGAAGGCAAUCCCCUGGGCCGGCACUGACGCUAAUGCACGAAAGCGUGGGGAGCAAACAGGAUUAGAAACCCUGGUAGUCC